UACGUAGGGGGCGAGCGUUGUCCGGAAUCAUUGGGCGUAAAGCGCGUGUAGGCGGCCCGGCAAGUCCGCUGUGAAAGUCCAGGGCUCAACCCUGGGAUGCCGGUGGAUACUGUCGGGCUCGAGUCCGGAAGAGGCGAGUGGAAUUCCUGGUGUAGCGGUGAAAUGCGCAGAUAUCAGGAGGAACACCAAUGGCGAAGGCAGCUCGCUGGGACGUGACUGACGCUGAGGCGCGAAAGCGUGGGGAGCAAACAGG
rnacentral:rRNA from 1 species